rnacentral:rRNA from 1 species
UCUGUUUGGAGAUAUAGAAAGUCUGGCCUGCCCACUGAUAUUAUUAAAGGGCCGCGGUAAUUUGACCGUGCAAAGGUAGCAUAAUCGUUAGUUUUUUAAUUGGAAUCUUGUAUGAAUGGUUGAACAAAAGAGUAACUGUCUCUAUAUUUUUUUUUGAAUUUAACUUUUAAGUGAAAAGGCUUAAAUGUUUUAAAAAGACGAUAAGACCCUAUAAAGCUUAAUAGGUUUUAUUAUUAAGCCAAAUUUCAAUAUCUCUAUAAUGGGUUAGUUUGAAAGGCCUAUUUUGUUGGGGCGACAAUGAUAAAGUGUUUACUAACUGUUUUUGAGUGAAGACAAUGAAUUAGUGAUUAAUAAAAGUAAAUGAUCCUUUAUAAAGAUUAAAAGGUUAAGUUACUUUAGGGAUAACAGCGUUAUUUUUCUUGAGAGUUCUUAUCGAAAGAAAAGUUUGCGACCUCGAUGUUGAAUUAAAAUUUCUAUAUAAUUGCAGAAGUUAUAGUCAGAGGGUCUGUUCGACCUUUAAAUUUUU